UGUUAUUGUGUUAAGAUCACAGGACAGGGAAGCAAAGAUAAGUGUGUGAGGAGGAUGUAGGAGCCUGUGAGAACUGCAGAGGUAUGGAGGAACGACGAAUGUCUCGGUGAGCUGAGAGGCAGGUAUGGGAGAAGAGGCUGCUUCAGUGCAGUGAGCUUGUCUGUGCAGCAAAGAGGACAAUUUUACUCACAAGAGUCUGAAGAGGAGGAGAUGAGCUCCAAGCACAUUUUGAAUGGCCAUUUUAAGGGCUUAGAGAUCAUGUGAUCAACCCAUACAGAGAAAAUAUACUACCAAAGAAGCAAAGAUGAGAGAAAGGAGAACAGAAGGAGGGAGGCCAAUGACAUCAAGAUCCUGGAAAGAUGCCCAGAAAUCACAUUCAUUUUUGUUACAUUUUCCAAAUUGAGUUACUGUCAUUUUUAAUAAAAAUAAUGCUUAAAAGUAUAAUAGAAAUCUACAUCAAAAGGAAAGAAAAGAACGAGAAAUCAUAAUUAUGUAACUAGACAUUUGUUGACAAAUGUAAAAAGAAAAGGGUACUAAAUACUAAGAAUAAUUAUAGUAACUCGGGAAAGGGUUACCUGUAAAAGUAUGGGUGGGACACAAACUAAUGUGGUUUGAAUGGGAAAUGUCUCCAUAGGCUUCUGUAUUUGAACACUGGUUCCUAGCUGGUGACACUGUUUGUAGAGUUUAUGGGAAGGUGCUGCCUUGCUGGAGAAAUAUGUCUCUGAGUGUGGGUUCUGAGAGAUAUAGCCUUGUCCCCUUUCCAGUACUCUCUCUGUGUUUCAUAUUUAUAGUUGAAAUGAGCUCUCAGCUUCCUGUUCCUGCUACCAUGCCUGCUAUUUGAGUCAAGAUGGAUUAUUUUCCUUCUAGAAUCAUAAGCAAAAUAAAGUCUUU